rnacentral:rRNA from 1 species
AACGAACGCUGGCGGCAUGCCUAACACAUGCAAGUCGAACGAGACCUUCGGGUCUAGUGGCGCACGGGUGCGUAACGCGUGGGAACCUGCCCUUAGGUUCGGAAUAACUCCCCGAAAGGGGUGCUAAUACCGGAUAAUGUCUUCGGACCAAAGAUUUAUCGCCUUUGGAUGGGCCCGCGUUGGAUUAGCUAGUUGGUAGGGUAAAAGCCUACCAAGGCGACGAUCCAUAGCUGGUCUGAGAGGAUGAUCAGCCACACUGGGACUGAGACACGGCCCAGACUCCUACGGGAGGGAGCAGUGGGGAAUAUUGGACAAUGGGCGAAAGACUGAUCCAGCAAUGCCGCGUGAGUGAUGAAGGCCUUAGGGUUGUAAAGCUCUUUUACCCGGGAUGAUAAUGACAGUACCGGGAGAAUAAGCUCCGGCUAACUCCGUG